AGUGAACGCUGGCGGUAGGCCUAACACACGCAAGUCGAACGGCAGCACAGUAAGAGCUUGCUCUUACGGGUGGCGAGUGGCGGACGGGUGAGGAAUACAUCGGAAUCUACUUUUUCGUGGGGGAUAACGUAGGGAAACUUACGCUAAUACCGCAUACGACCUACGGGUGAAAGCAGGGGAUCUUCGGACCUUGCGCGAUUGAAUGAGCCGAUGUCGGAUUAGCUAGUUGGCGGGGUAAAGGCCCACCAAGGCGACGAUCCGUAGCUGGUCUGAGAGGAUGAUCAGCCACACUGGAACUGAGAAACGGUCCAGACUCCUACGGGAGGCAGCAGUGGGGAAUAUUGGACAAUGGGCGCAAGCCUGAUCCAGCCAUACCGCGUGGGUGAAGAAGGCCUUCGGGUUGUAAAGCCCUUUUGUUGGGAAAGAAAAGCAGCAGGUUAAUACCCCGCUGUUCUGACGGUACCCAAAGAAUAAGCACCGGCUAACUUCGUG
rnacentral:rRNA from 1 species